UUACUACCACCUGUAUAUAAAGUAUAAAA
rnacentral:sRNA from 1 species